UUAAGCGACUAAGCGUACACGGUGGAUGCCCUGGCAGUCAGAGGCGAUGAAGGACGUGCUAAUCUGCGAAAAGCGUCGGUAAGGUGAUAUGAACCGUUACAGCCGGCGAUGUCCGAAUGGGGAAACCCAGUGUGAUUCGUCACACUAUCGUUAACUGAAUACAUAGGUUAACGAGGCGAACCGGGGGAACUGAAACAUCUAAGUACCCCGAGGAAAAGAAAUCAACCGAGAUUCCCCCAGUAGCGGCGAGCGAACGGGGAGCAGCCCAGAGUCUGAAUCAGCUUGUGUGUUAGUGGAACGGUCUGGAAAGUCCGACGGUACAGGGUGAUAGUCCCGUACACCAAAAUGCACAGGCUGUGAACUCGAAGAGUAGGGCGGGACACGUGGUAUCCUGUCUGAAUAUGGGGGGACCAUCCUCCAAGGCUAAAUACUCCUGACUGACCGAUAGUGAACCAGUACCGUGAGGGAAAGGCGAAAAGAACCCCGGCGAGGGGAGUGAAAAAGAACCUGAAACCGUGUACGUACAAGCAGUGGGAGCACCUUCGGGUGUGACUGCGUACCUUUUGUAUAAUGGGUCAGCGACUUAUAUUCUGUAGCAAGGUUAACCGUAUAGGGGAGCCGCAGGGAAACCGAGUCUUAACUGGGCGUUAAGUUGCAGGGUAUAGACCCGAAACCCGGUGAUCUAGCCAUGGGCAGGUUGAAGGUUGGGUAACACUAACUGGAGGACCGAACCGACUAAUGUUGAAAAAUUAGCGGAUGACUUGUGGCUGGGGGUGAAAGGCCAAUCAAACCGGGAGAUAGCUGGUUCUCCCCGAAAGCUAUUUAGGUAGCGCCUCGUGAAUUCAUCUUCGGGGGUAGAGCACUGUUUCGGCUAGGGGGUCAUCCCGACUUACCAACCCGAUGCAAACUACGAAUACCGAAGAAUGUUAUCACGGGAGACACACGGCGGGUGCUAACGUCCGUCGUGAAGAGGGAAACAACCCAGACCGCCAGCUAAGGUCCCAAAGUCACAGUUAAGUGGGAAACGAUGUGGGAAGGCACAGACAGCCAGGAUGUUGGCUUAGAAGCAGCCAUCAUUUAAAGAAAGCGUAAUAGCUCACUGGUCGAGUCGGCCUGCGCGGAAGAUGUAACGGGGCUAAACUGUGCACCGAAGCUGCGGCAGCGACACUAUGUGUUGUUGGGUAGGGGAGCGUUCUGUAAGCCUGCGAAGGUGGCCUGUGAGGGUUGCUGGAGGUAUCAGAAGUGCGAAUGCUGACAUAAGUAACGAUAAUGCGGGUGAAAAGCCCGCACGCCGGAAGACCAAGGGUUCCUGUCCAACGUUAAUCGGGGCAGGGUGAGUCGACCCCUAAGGCGAGGCCGAAAGGCGUAGUCGAUGGGAAACAGGUUAAUAUUCCUGUACUUGGUGUUACUGCGAAGGGGGGACGGAGAAGGCUAUGUUAGCCGGGCGACGGUUGUCCCGGUUUAAGCAUGUAGGCGGAGGUUCCAGGUAAAUCCGGUACCUUUUUAACGCUGAGGUGUGAUGACGAGGCACUACGGUGCUGAAGUAACAAAUGCCCUGCUUCCAGGAAAAGCCUCUAAGCAUCAGGUAACAUUAAAUCGUACCCCAAACCGACACAGGUGGUCAGGUAGAGAAUACCAAGGCGCUUGAGAGAACUCGGGUGAAGGAACUAGGCAAAAUGGUGCCGUAACUUCGGGAGAAGGCACGCUGAUAUGUAGGUGAAGCCCCUGCGGGUGGAGCUGAAAUCAGUCGAAGAUACCAGCUGGCUGCAACUGUUUAUUAAAAACACAGCACUGUGCAAACACGAAAGUGGACGUAUACGGUGUGACGCCUGCCCGGUGCCGGAAGGUUAAUUGAUGGGGUUAUCCGUAAGGAGAAGCUCUUGAUCGAAGCCCCGGUAAACGGCGGCCGUAACUAUAACGGUCCUAAGGUAGCGAAAUUCCUUGUCGGGUAAGUUCCGACCUGCACGAAUGGCGUAAUGAUGGCCAGGCUGUCUCCACCCGAGACUCAGUGAAAUUGAACUCGCUGUGAAGAUGCAGUGUACCCGCGGCAAGACGGAAAGACCCCGUGAACCUUUACUAUAGCUUGACACUGAACAUUGAGCCUUGAUGUGUAGGAUAGGUGGGAGGCUUUGAAGCGUGGACGCCAGUCUGCGUGGAGCCAACCUUGAAAUACCACCCUUUAAUGUUUGAUGUUCUAACGUUGGCCCCUUAUCGGGGUUGCGGACAGUGUCUGGUGGGUAGUUUGACUGGGGCGGUCUCCUCCCAAAGAGUAACGGAGGAGCACGAAGGUUAGCUAAUCCUGGUCGGACAUCAGGAGGUUAGUGCAAUGGCAUAAGCUAGCUUGACUGCGAGCGUGACGGCGCGAGCAGGUGCGAAAGCAGGUCAUAGUGAUCCGGUGGUUCUGAAUGGAAGGGCCAUCGCUCAACGGAUAAAAGGUACUCCGGGGAUAACAGGCUGAUACCGCCCAAGAGUUCAUAUCGACGGCGGUGUUUGGCACCUCGAUGUCGGCUCAUCACAUCCUGGGGCUGAAGUAGGUCCCAAGGGUAUGGCUGUUCGCCAUUUAAAGUGGUACGCGAGCUGGGUUUAGAACGUCGUGAGACAGUUCGGUCCCUAUCUGCCGUGGGCGCUGGAGAAUUGAGGGGGGCUGCUCCUAGUACGAGAGGACCGGAGUGGACGCAUCACUGGUGUUCGGGUUGUCAUGCCAAUGGCAUUGCCCGGUAGCUAAAUGCGGAAGAGAUAAGUGCUGAAAGCAUCUAAGCACGAAACUUGCCCCGAGAUGAGUUCUCCCUGACUCCUUGAGAGUCCUGAAGGAACGUUAAAGACGAUGACGUUGAUAGGUCGG
rnacentral:rRNA from 1 species